rnacentral:rRNA from 1 species
GACGGAAGGUGCAAGCGUUGCUCGGAAUCACUGGGCGUAAAGGGUGCGUAGGCGGCUUGGUAAGUUGGGUGUGAAAGCCCCGGGCUCAGCCCGGGAAGGGCACUCGAAACUGCCGAGCUGGAGUGCCGGAGGGGAGAGUGGAAUUCCUGGUGUAGCGGUGAAAUGCGUAGAUAUCAGGAGGAAUACCGGUGGCGAAAGCGACUCUCUGGACAGCAACUGACGCUGAGGCACGAAAGCGUGGGGAGCAAACAGG